rnacentral:rRNA from 1 species
UCGAAUGCGAAAGCCCUUCGGGGUGAGUAGAGUGGCGCACGGGUGAGUAACACGUAGGUAAUCUACCUCGGGGUGGGGAAUAACGACCGGAAACGGUCGCUAAUACCGCAUAAUGCAGCGGCACCACAUGGUGACAGUUGUUAAAGCGGGGGAUCCGAAAGGACCUCGCGCCUGGAGAUGAGCCUGCGGCGGAUUAGCUAGUUGGCGGGGUAACGGCCCACCAAGGCGACGAUCCGUAGCCGGCCUGAGAGGGCGGACGGCCACACUGGCACUGACAUACGGGCCAGACUCCUACGGGAGGCAGCAGUCGGGAAUUUUGGGCAAUGGGCGAAAGCCUGACCCAGCAACGCCGCGUGAAGGAUGAAGCUUUUCGGAGUGUAAACUUCAUAAGAGUGGGACGAAUAAGUGGGGGAUAACACCCCCCAUGAUGACGGUACCAUUUGUAAGCUCCGGCUAACUCCGUGCCAGCAGCCGCGGUAAUACGGGGGGAGCAAGCGUUGUUCGGAUUUACUGGGCGUAAAGGGCGCGUAGGCGGCGCGACAAGUCACUUGUGAAAUCUCCGGGCUUAACCCGGAGCGGCCAAGUGAUACUGUAGUGCUAGAGUGCGGAAGGGGCUACUGGAAUUCUCGGUGUAGCGGUGAAAUGCGUAGAUAUCGAGAGGAACACCUGCGGCGAAGGCGGGUAGCUGGGCCGACACUGACGCUGAGGCGCGAAAGCCAGGGGAGCGAACGGGAUUAGAUACCCCGGUAGUCCUGGCCUAAACGAUGGGAUGCUUGGUGUCC